rnacentral:lncRNA from 1 species
GGGGCAGAAUUACAUAGCAAUGCUGAUCAUUGACAAAACCACCUUGAAGGAAUAGGAAUUGAUACCUCAGAAGUGCAGCAAAAUUCUGUUUUGUUCACAUGCCAGGCAAGGAAACUCAGACGUAGUUCAUAAACACAAAUAACAUACAAGCAAGAGCCAGAGAAAUCAGCACCAAGAGAAUCUCAAAAUUGCAAAAGAGAAGUUCUUAAAAUUAACAAUGAGAGCAAUAAAUAAAACAAAACUGCACAAAGAUACAAAGAGAGACCUGCUCCUCACCUGUCUUAUCCUUGACGUCAGAAAUCCUGCACCAAUAGGACACCACAGAGAUCAGGCACCAACAACAAUUGUGGCUAGCAGUAUGUGGCUGUUACACAAGUACUGCUGCCAAAAUUGGAUAAUGCUGGAAUAAAACAGUAAUCUGGUCGAGUGAAACUUCUGGUGACCAUUCGGUGACAAUGCAAACUUUGGCCACAGGCAGGGAUAAUUUGAGCUGGUAAAUGUGAAUAACAGGGAUUGCUUUAGCCAUUAGGGGUUACAUUUAACUAUUCCAGGUCAACAAGAAACUGCCAAGCAGAAACAAAAAAAAUUUAAACAAACAGCUGUAAGGAUAAUCCACCACAUCAACAGCACAUUAAAAAAUUAUCCACCACACUAGCUAAAUGUGAAGAGGGGAAUACUAAAAGGUAAUCGACAAACUAUAAACAUUAUAUGAAGCCUAAACACGGGCACCACAUGUCCAACCAAAUCAUUUUCCCUCCAUCCCUUAAUUGCAUAAACCAAAGAUCCCUUAUAUCAGCAACUAAAAUUAAAGCAUGAAUCGAAACUAUGAUCCCAAAACAUGAAGAAAGAUAAAACUCAAAUAUAAAGCGUUGCAUUCUGCUUGGCAACAUGAAACGAUCGUGCUUACAUUAAGGGAGAAAUUCAUACAUACAAUGAUGGACCACAUGAUACAUGUAAGAUAGGAUUGGACAUCUCCUAGACUGGGAGUCCCAUCUUUUUUGACAGUUGUUGCUUCACUUUCCAAAUAACAAAUGGAUCAAGCCAUAUUUAUUUGAAUUACCUUGUGUUUGAUCCAAUACAUAUAAUUUCCAGUGGAGGAAUAUUUACAAAUUGUGAAAACAUUCUGGAUAACUACCAAAAUUUGUGAAUCCUUUGGAGUACCUAAUAUAACAAUCAAAUGCAGUUCACGAAAAACUAUGCAAUAGCUUUGCUGGUAUUACGAAAAAGGUGUGCAGUAUAGAUACAGGAUGUCAGCAACCGUCGAAGCAAGAAGCCAUACUUAAGCAAUAUGCAGAUCACCUCAGAUCAAAAGGAGGAUGAGCAAGACUAAACCAAGCAUCAUUCUUCUUGCAACAUUAGUAAAAGAUGGUCCUUGUACUCUUAAAGAGAAACAUCAAAGGCACCCACAAAUGAAAGAGAUACCUUGGAUACUCCCAUCCAAACAAGACACCCACACAUAAUCAAAUAAAUAAAUAAAUAAACAUUAGUCAAUCGAAGGAAGAGCAUAUAGAUGCAUUACCAGGUAGGAUCUCCAAGAAAACCACCCGUGAAGGAUAAAAGAAACCAUACAAUCCUCAUUCAUAUUGUUAUCUUUACAGCAAAGCCUAUCCACAGAAAUGGUCUCUCAGGUCAAAAGGGAACAAACAAAGUGCCAUUUCCAUACACAGGAUGAAGUGUUUG